AAGAGAGCAGCUUUUGAUAAUUCCCUAAAGAACUUCGUUCUGUUGAAAACUUUCUUCCCUUAACGAGAGGUGAGCCUCUUCUCUUCUCUGUUUCAGGUUCUUGUUUUCUUUGUCUGGAAUUCCUUGCAGGUCUUGGGGUCAUCAGUUACUUAUGGCAGUAACAAUCCCAUCCCAACUUUCUGGCAAUGAAGAUAACAACAAUAAUGCCCUCACCUCAUCAUCAAAAUUGAUGCAAACUGAACACAAUUGACUCAUCACAAUAUUCAGAUUAUUCAGGUGUUUCUCCAAUGGGGUGUUGUCCAACAUCUUCAUAUUGGAUAACUUCUUCAUUCAUAACACUUUGUUUGAGGCCAAUGACUUCUCAUACUACUUAAUUAGUGCGACCAUGAGAUCGACUGUAGUCUUCUCAUUUACAAUGUUGAAUGCACCACAUGAGGAAAGUGAAAGUCGUAUCAAACCUAUUGUAGUCCGGUCAAGAACCUCCCAUUCAUCCAUAGUCAUAAAAUCCGGCUUCUUAUUGAUUCCUUCCAACGGUAAAUACAACUUUUGAUACAACAAAUCUUCAAGUUGCAUCCUCCAAAAUGUGAAGUUCGAACCAUUGAACUCUUCAUUCUUGUACCUUGCUUCGUCCACCAUUACUCCCACUCGAAUUAAAGAACCUUGCUUUGAUACGAGUUGUUGGGGAUGAGUAGGAGUAAACACCACAAUGACAAAACAAGCAAGAAAGUAGAAAUAACGAAAAAAUAAAUGACACCAAGAUUUAACGUGGAAAAACUCAAAAUAAGGAAAAAACUACAGAGUUGCACCAUACCAAGAAAUCCAUUAUGCAAAUUGGGAGAAUUAAGUACAUAUCUCUCUUCACUCUCACUCUCUCCUUGCUUCUCUUCUCACAUGAACUAUUCUCAAUGUCUAACACACCAAAAUACAAGAGAAAGCCAAGUAAAAUAACCCCAAGAGACGUAACCCUUCAGAAAAGCGAGAAAGAAAAUUGUCUAGUCUGUCUCGUAGCGCUGCAGCGCCAGUUUGAAGCUCUGCGGAGCUUGAACCUCUAUCUUGAUCCGCUGCAGUGCCGUAUCUAUGCUGCUUAAGCGCUCAACUCUCUGUGGUUUAGCGCUGAGGCCCUCGGGAAUACAUAGUCGGGGCACUCGAGUACGUAACGCCGGGGUAAAUCCCCUCACCCCCUAGCGAACACGAGAAACUUGAGGUCCGAGGAAACAAAACAACCCGAUUGAUCAACACAAUCAUAUUUCACUUAUAACAGGCUCUUCGCUGGGGUGAGCUGUUGGCCCAUAAUGGAGGUGGAUCCCUUGCCUGGAAACACUCUGAUUAGUUUAUAAUUUAAAAUAUAUCAGGAGAAGUGAAGGCCAAUCCCACAAUUAUAAUUUCCUUAGAACCUUUAAUAUUCUUUCCUUCAUUGCAACUACACAUGAUCGAAUGGCCACAACUUCUUGUGCUAGACACAAUUAAGCAUCUCCUAGUUCCAAUUAGAUAAAAUUUAAAAAAGAAGCAAUUUUAAAUUAUGUGUCAACAAACAAAGAACAAAAACAUUUAAAAUUCGACCUGGCUGUUACAGGCUACCUGCAUGGUCGGUGGUAGUGGAUAUUUUUUAAAUGAGUAUUUUUAGUUUUUUAAUAUAAUGCUUCUUUAAAAAAAAAAAAAAAAAAGUGUAUUCCAUAUGCAUAAAUCUUACGAUCUACGUUUUUAUGUAAACUUUCCCACUAUUUUGUGUGCUUGUACCUUUAUUUGAAUAGUUUCAACAAGCAGAACGUGGCUGCAUGGUCCAUUUGAAUGAAUUAAAAUUCAAAAUGAAAAUAUAGACUAAUAAAAUAAUAUAUAAGUAACUAAAAUUUAUUCUUUAUAUGAUAAAAUGAGAUAAAUAAGAGAUAAUAUUUUUUUAUAAAUUUGUGGUUAGAUGUGUUAUAUUCUUUAUUGAAAACUUUUAUCACUGCAAAUUUCAUAAAAAUAUUCUUUUAUUUAUCUCAUUUUAAAUUAUGUAAAUGGUGUAGCUGACGGGAAAUAUGUAAAUGGUGUAAAAAUAUAAGUAUUAGAUGAUGAGAAUUUGGCAUCUUCCUUCCUAGUUUUCUUGAAUUAUUUUAUUUCCUUGAAGCAUAGGUAUUAUAGAAAUGUGGUAAGGCUAAAGAAGAUGGUGGUGAUGACAACAAUGAUUUUAUUUUUGUAGUGAUGCUACUUAUUUUCCUAAGCCGACGCCUUUUAGAAGAACCCUAAUGCAGACAAUAUCUUUGCGAGGCGAAUGAUAUUAUUUCUGUCAAACCAUAUUUAAUAGUUGUUUUCUUCUCAUCAUAAGCAAUGAUAGGAGGCUAAAUAUCUAUUGUAACCAUCACUCAAGUCCUACUCCAGAAGUGCUCAUUGGGGUUAAUGUGCAUUCAUACUGCUUUUAUGUUGGAUGGUACAAGCGAGAAGCAUCUACCUAUCAAGUUGCGUUAUGUGCUUUUAAUGCUGGCCAUGGGGUUAUCACAUGGCUUUGGUGACCAUGGGAUACCUCAUUAAUAUGAAAUCCAUCUCAUGCCCUUUGUAUCUGGGACCAUUUGUGCCAUCACUCAACAGAGACUGCAAGGAAAUUUCCCUCAUCUUUCUUCUCUUGACGCCUUCAAUGUAAAAUAGCCUUAUGGAUGGUGUCAUUUGGAACUGGGUCCUGUGCAUGGGGGAAGGCAGGUCCCCACCUCUCUUACUGGUCACAAUAUGGGGAUCCACUUCUACUGAUCUAAACGUCCAUUUCAUCUUUCUUUCCAAUACGGAAGCUAUCAGGGAUGGACAAAUGGUAAUCAUUUGCUUGUGGAGGCCAUUUGUGAUGAUGCAUUUACUCUCUUCCAACAUUGUGAAUGAUAUCUUUUUAUUACCCAUGAUGUGGGGGACCUACAUGGCCGCUUUCAUCCUGUAGCUAAGCUACAGACUAUUGGAAUGUGACUGAGCUGUUAGAAUCAUUCUUAGAUCUUCCAAUUUUAAUGCGGUCGUUUUCCUAUUUUACCUCUUGCAAGACUUUCAAGUGCACAUUUGUUUCUAAUCCCUGAAAUCUCUAAUUUACUUGGACUUCAUUGUUUCUCCCAAAUCAUUUUAAUUUUGUGGUCCUUGAUGUAAAGUUUUUUGUUUCUUCAUGGUGCAAAUGUAGCAUGUAGAACUUGGUUUGGACUUUGGAGUACUUAAAAUAUGCUCAUAAAAUAAAAUUUCUAGCCUUUUUCAUUCAAGCUUGCCGUUGUCUUUGACUGCAGACAGAAUGUUACAUUAGUUUUUUUUUUUUUUUUUUUAAAUUGGAAAACUGUAAAAAUUUACAAUUUCAUUAUGGAUUGUUGAACAUUAGCUGUUUAAACUUCGACUUGUUUUAUGAUCUGUGUAUCCAGUGUUUAUAACAGUGGUGAAUUUUAUCUUAUAUUUUCUGUUCAGCGGAUGCUGAAUAUAUCCUACUAUUUGAUCUGGGCUUCAUCUAAUCUAAUUUUUAUUAAUUUAUUUCUGCAUUAUUUUUGCAUAUUGCUUUGAUCAUUUGUUUUAGGUCCAACUAUAACUUUGUACCGGAGGCAAAGUGAUUUGACAUGGAAGGUUAUUAUGGCAUGACAGAUACAAGAGAAUAAAUAGUAGAGGCUGGCAUUUGCUUCUUGCAAGGCGCAAUUAUUCACAAGCUUUCUGACUAAGUUGACAGAACUCUACUUUGAUAGCAGACAACUUUAAUGAAUAGACAGCAUGCUUCUUGGAUAUCUUCUUGGCAGGUAAGAGUACCCUAUCCACAAAUUUAUGAUUGUGCAGUAUAAUUCCUUAUUAUUAAAAAUAGCAAACGUAUAAUAACACCAAAGCUUAUAAUAAUCUAAAGAAAACUAGAAGUUUUAUAAAGAGGGUACUAAGUAAAGCAAAAGUUAUAAUUUUGGAUGAUUUAUAUGUUAAUUUUGGUAUUAGGAAGAAGAAAAUAAGAUAUAUGGAGAUUAUAUUUGUGGAAAGAGAUGAGAGAUUUAGGGAUUUGGGUCAAGUUAGAUGAAUUGAGAAUGAAGAUAGUAUUUUGGUUAAAGAUGACAUCAAGUGAAGAGAAAUGUUACUUUGAGAAAUUGCCUUUAAGGAAGAAAACAUUCUAGAAGAAUACGAAUAAUAUAAAGAAGUAUGUUAUAGAUUGAUCCAAAAAUUGAAGUAGUGUUAACUUCGAAAAAGAGGCAUAAAGGCAAGGCUUUAAGUCCAAACGACAUAUCCAUUGCGAUUUUUAGAGUUUUGAUGGAUACUGAUAGGAUUUGGUUAACAUUUCUUUUCAAUAGCAUUUUUAAAACCAAAAAAUGCCAAAUGAUGGAGGAGAAGCAUUUUGGUACCAAUACUUAAGAACUAAUGUGCUGUUCAAAAUUGUUCCAACUUGCAACUAUCUUGGAAUCAAAAUUAUGAGCUAUGAGUAUACAACAUAGCUAUGGGAGAGAGAGAGAUUAAUUGAAUAGAGACUUAAAAACAUUACAUCAAAUUUGGAUAGCUAAUUGGUUUAGUACCGGUAAGAUUUACCAUGAAAUCAAUUUUUAUGUUAAGAUAAUUAAUAGAUGAGUAUAGGGAACAAAAUAAAGAAUUUCAUAUGUUUUUUAUUAAUCUUGAGAAAACAUAUGAUUGAAUGUCACAAUAUUUGAUUCGAAACGUGCUUUAAGGAAGAAUUAUGUAUGUCAAAGGUACGUUGAUGCUACUAAAUAUAUGUAUGAUGAUUACAUUGACUAUUAUUAGAACUGGUUGUUGAAUGACCAAAGCGUUUUCAAUUAUCACAGGCUUAUAUCAAGAAAUUACAUUGGCUUUAUAUUUUUACAUUGAUUAUGAAGAUGCUUACAGAGGAUAUUCAAGACGAGGUGCAUUGGUUUAUAUUUUUUGACUUAGAAUUAGUUUAAUAAAGACUAAAUAAAUGAUAUGAAUUUUAGUUGGUAUGAUGUUAACAAUUAUUAUUUAAUCUCAUUUGAAGGUUAGGCGAUAUUUACAUGUGCUAAGGUCAAGUAUUAUGGAGAUAUUACACAGAAGAAUGAGGAUAUAGACGAUGAUAUAACUCUUAUAGUUUAUAAUAGAUAGUUAAAAUGGAGAAAUGACCUCAGGAGUUUUAUGUGAUUAUAUGAUAUACCAUGGAAGCUUAAAGGUAAAUUUUAUAAAAUUUAAAUUAGGCCGAACAUGUUGUAUGGGUUUGAAUGUUGAGUUCUAAGAAGUCAUUAGUAUAAUAAAAAUGAGAAUGUUAAGAUGAAUGCAUGAAAAAGUUAGGAAUGAUAAAUUAAGGAUUGAUUAUAUAUUAAAGGAAAUAUGAUUCAGUGAUAUUUAUAUAUAAUCAGGCAUAUCAAAAUAGACUAAGAUGAUUUGGAUGUGUACAAUAAAUGAUAGAAAACAUGCCUAAUAUAUAAGUUAAAAUUACUGUUAGAGGAACAAUAGGGAAAAUUGGUAGAUCUAAGGGUAUUUGGAUAGAAAUUGCUAAAAAUAAUUUGCAAAAAAUAUAUUUAAUACCUUAGUCAUUACUCAACAAGAAUUAACAAACAAUAAGGAUUCAUAACUCCAACCAUAAAUAGUUGGGAUAAGGCUAUUCAUGUUGAUGAUGAUAUAGAAAAUUUAAUGAGUGGGAUUGUUGCAUUUUACUUUUUCAUGAGUCUUUUGCACACCUGAUCAUCCUUUUAAACCCAUACUAGAAUGUAAAAUACUUGCAGGCUUAAGUUAAUCAACAUAGUAUUUGUAAGGUCUUUGCAGUUUUUUUUUUUGCAAAUUUUUCUAUAUUUUUGUUUUUUGUUUUUCUCUUUUUUGCUCUUGCACCCUUAUUAAAUCAUGAAUGAAUUCCUACAUGAUCAUAAAAUUAAUUUUUUUUCCUUUCAUAGUUUUAACCCUUUAAGAAUAUGCCAGUGCAAUAAUAACAUGAUAUUUAGGUGAUUCAUUACGGACCCUUAAAUUUCCAUCUUGAAGACGUGAAUGAUAUUGAUAAAUUCGAUGUAGGCCAUCUAACUUGAUAAUGGUUGUACCGAGCAUGUCUAGAUCAAACCUAAAUUGGUGUUGGCGCUAUUAACGGAAUUUAUUUGAUUACAAAGCUCGUAAUCUAUUAAAUUCAUCAAAAUAUCUGUUUUAAGCUUUACAUUUACGUCCAAAAUUUCCUGCUUCUUAGUAUUGCUAGUUAGCUUCAUUAUGCCAUAUGAAUCAGGCUUAAGGUUUUUUUUUUAUUUUUUUUAUUUUUAUUUUUUUAAUUCUUUUAUUUUCUUAAUUUAAUUAAAUUUAUUUUGAACUAGGGGAUGUGGGGUAAGGUGGAGUGGUUAUGGAAAACCAUGAAGGGGUAUCUUGUUUGGUUUACAUGGUAAAAAUUGAAACUAAUUACUACUCAGUUAUGAAAGUUGGGGUUUGUAUGGAUGUUUGGGAUUGAAUAUGUGUAUGUGUAUGUGUUUGUGUUUGUGGGGUGAGAUGAGGUAGGUGGGCAGUGUAGGAAGUGGUUGGGAAAUGCUGGAUUUUGAAUUUUAAGAGGUUUGUUCAGGGGUUAAUUGUUAACUCCAUGAACUUGUGUGUCUUGUAUGAAAUUCAUUUAUAAUUUAAGGAUAAUAAAUUUUAUGUUAUCUUAUCUAAGUGUUUGUUAAGUAUUUUCUCUCAGAUUAAUUAAUUAGCAAUCAUGGAGAUAAUGCCAUGACUCACUAAGCUAGCUUGAAGUUUUUUGCAGAUUGGUGAUGAGGUUAAGAUAUUCAAGUAAAGAAGACUAAGGUGCAAAUAUUACCUAGUGUUGUCUUGAUCCAGUGGGUGAGUUUAGGAUGUUAUUCAUUAAAAAUUUACUGAGCAAGAUUUGUUAAGGAUUCAAGGAUAAUGAACGUAUAUAAAAAUAAAAUUGAUUAGAUUGUAUUGAUAUUUAUUCAAAUUAUAUUUUAAUCACUAUAAAA